AGUUCACCUGAAUAGGCUGACGUGGUGGUGAGUCUAGCAUAAUUAAUUGGCCAAUGGGAUUCUGCCUGUCCUUGCUUUUCUUUCUGGCUUCUCUUCCUAUCAUAUUUGCGCAAGAUGUUAAACAUGCUACAAUUGUGGUUGAUGGGACUGUCACAACCGCUGAAACUGAUGAUAAUUUCAUAUGCGCUACCCUUGAUUGGUGGCCUCAUGA
rnacentral:misc_RNA from 1 species